UCCACAAUGGUCUACUGGCAUGAUAUUGCGUUUUCACCGCAAAGAUCGGGGUUCAAUUCCCCGUUGCGGAA
rnacentral:tRNA from 1 species